rnacentral:rRNA from 1 species
GACGAACGCUGGCGGCGUGCUUAACACACGCAAGUCGAACGAUGAUGCCCAGCUUGCUGGGUGGAUUAGUGGCGAACAGGUGAGUAACACGUGAGUAACCUGCCCCUGACUCUGGGAUAUGCGUUGGAAACGACGGCUAAUACUGGAUAUGACUACCGGCCGCAUGGUCUGGUGGUGGAACGAUUGUUUGGUUGGGGAUGGACUCGCGGCCUAUCAGCUUGUUGGUGAGGUGAUGGCUCACCAAGGCGACGACGGGUAGCCGGCCUGGGAGGGUGACCGGCCACACUGGGACUGAGACACGGCCCAGACUCCUACGGGAGGCAGCAGUGGGGAAUAUUGCACAAUGGGCGAAAGCAUGAUGCAGCAACGCCGCGUGAGGGAUGACGGCCUUCGGGUUGUAAACCUCUUUUAGUAGGGAAGAAGCGAAAGUGACGGUACCUGCAGAAAAAGCACCGGCUAACUACGUGCCAGCAGCCGCGGUAA